rnacentral:rRNA from 1 species
GACGAACGCUGGCGGCGUGCUUAACACAUGCAAGUCGAACGGAAAGGCCCUGCUUUUGUGGGGUGCUCGAGUGGCGAACGGGUGAGUAACACGUGAGUAAACUGCCCUUGACUUUGGGAUAACUUCAGGAAACUGGGGCUAAUACCGGAUAGGAGCUCCUGCUGCAUGGUGGGGGUUGGAAAGUUUCGGCGGUUGGGGAUGGACUCGCGGCUUAUCAGCUUGUUGGUGGGGUAGUGGAUUACAAAGGCUUUGACGGGUAGCCGGCCUGAGAGGGUGACCGGCGACAUUGGGACUGAGGUACGGCCCAGACUCCUACGGGAGGCAGCAGUGGGGAAUAUUGCGCAGUGGGCGGAAGCCUGAUGCAGCAACGCCGCGAGCGGGAUGACCGCCUUCUGGUUGUAAACCGCUUUGUCCUGUGACGAAGCCUGAUUGACGGUAAUUGGUAAAGAAGCAACGGCUAACUACGUG